rnacentral:lncRNA from 10 species
GGCGUGUGGAUAGAGGGGGAGUCUGUGGGUGUCUGGGGACAGCGGGUACCUGGGAACUCUGCACUCACCAUUCAGUUUUGUUGGGAACCUAAAACUGCUCUAAAAAAUAAAGUCUAUUAAUUUUUUUGGAACUGCGUUUUUGUUUUUUUUUUGAGACGGAGUUUUGCUCAUGUCGCCCAGGCUGGAGUGCAAUGGUGCAAUCUCAGCUCACUGCAACCUCUGCCUCCCAGGUUCAAGCAAUUCUCCAGCAUUGCCUCCUGAGUAGCUGGGAUUACAGGCAUGUGCUACCACACCCAGCUAAUUUUUUUUUUUCCCCAAGACGGAGUCUAACUCUGUCACCCAGGCCGGAGUGCAAUGGCGUGAUUUUAGCUCACUGAAACCUUCACCUCCCGGGUUCAAGUGAUUCUCCUGCCUCAGCCUCCUGACUAGCUGGGAUUGUAGGCACGUGUCACCAUGCCCAGCUAAUUUUUGUAUUUGUAGUAGGGACAGGGUUUCGCCAUUUGGCCAAGCUGCUCUUGAACUCCUGACCUCAAGUGAUCCACCCGUCUCAGCCUCCCAAAGUGCUGGGAUUACAGGUGUGAGCCACUGGGCCAGGCUUGAACUGCAUAUCUGGCCUUCUCACUCCUGGGGAUCCUCCCACUCAUACCUAAUGGCCUCAGGGCCGUUGCAUGAGCUACUCACCUUGGUGAGUGGCCCUCACCCCAACUAUGGCUAAUUUCUCUUCAUCUUCCUCACCAUGUUGGUCAGGCUGGUCUCCCUUUG